rnacentral:rRNA from 1 species
CCUACGGGAGGCAGCAGUGGGGAAUUUUGGACAAUGGGCGCAAGCCUGAUCCAGCCAUGCCGCGUGCAGGAUGAAGGCCUUCGGGUUGUAAACUGCUUUUGUACGGAACGAAAAGACUCUGGUUAAUACCUGGGGUCCAUGACGGUACCGUAAGAAUAAGCACCGGCUAACUACGUGCCAGCAGCCGCGGUAAUACGUAGGGUGCGAGCGUUAAUCGGAAUUACUGGGCGUAAAGCGUGCGCAGGCGGUUAUAUAAGACAGAUGUGAAAUCCCCGGGCUCAACCUGGGAACUGCAUUUGUGACUGUAUAGCUAGAGUACGGCAGAGGGGGAUGGAAUUCCGCGUGUAGCAGUGAAAUGCGUAGAUAUGCGGAGGAACACCGAUGGCGAAGGCAAUCCCCUGGGCCUGUACUGACGCUCAUGCACGAAAGCGUGGGGAGCAAACAGGAUUAGAUACCCUGGUAGUCCACGCCCUAAACGAUGUCAACUGGUUGUUGGGUCUUCACUGACUCAGUAACGAAGCAACGCGUGAAGUUGACCGCCUGGGGAGUACGGCCGCAAGGUUGAAACGUCGAAAGGAAUUGACGG